rnacentral:tRNA from 1 species
GCCUGAGUGGCUCAGUCGGUUAAGCGUCUGACUUCAGCUCAGGCCAUGAUCUCACAGUUUGUGGGUUCGAGCCCCUCAUCAGGCG